rnacentral:tRNA from 1 species
GGUAGCUCAGUGGUUGAGCACUUGCCUUGCAUGCAUGAGGCCCUGGGUUCGGUUCCUCAGUACCA